rnacentral:lncRNA from 1 species
UUUUUUUUUUUUUUUUUUUUUUUGGGUUUGGGAUUAUUUAUACGACCCAUGAAUUUCUUUUAGGCUUUGAGUUCGAGCAAGUUAACUUUACAGAAAUCCAGCUUGAAUUUCAACAAAACUUGGAGCCAUGCAUGAACGUGACUAUAGAUGCCCGAAGUCAUGGUUUCAAGCGAUCAAAAGUGUUCCAAUCUGAUGGUUGUAAUCUAAAACGAGUCCUGUCAACAAUCCAGCUUCAACCAAUAAAUUAUCAGUAGUGGCAUCUUCUUCAAGUAGUACAUGUGAAAGAAUUUAAACCAGUGGGGAAACACACAAAUAUCAUCUACUGUUCACCAUUUAUUUUAUUAGUCAAGCAUGCGUUUUAACUAUCCACCAAAACGAAUUUCAGAUGUAGAAAGAGGACACCUUCUUGUUUAUGUGACAGAUGAAGAAGCAUUAAUAUCUCACCCUUGCAUCUCAAUCGUCCAGUGUCAUCUGAACUUCAAAAAUUAGUAGGAGGAAAGAAAUUUUAGAUCAAUAUCACGGUUCCCAAGAUUCAUAGGAUUUUUUUUUUUGGGGGGGGGGGGGGGCAGUCUUCUUGGGUUUUCUGCCACUCAUUUGACUAUUCUUUUCCCGCCUUGUAUUUGUGUGGAGGAGCAUCUGUAUCAAACUACACCCAUGUACACAAAAUUAUAAUAGUAUCUGGCAAAAAAGGAAAUGCUAAAGGAGAAACAGACGAAGGGCAUUGAAUGCUGAAGUGUAAUGAAUGGUGAGUCGAGGGGUAAAGAAUAGGUGGUCCUAACUCCUACGCUUCGUGAUGGCUAAUGAGUUCGAAUCAAGUUUCAACUACUUCUACUACAUUAUCACACUCUUUUUUUUUUUAAUCUAACAUCAACGCUCUACUCUACUCUUAUGUUAUGUUAUGGGGAAGGGAGAGCUCUAUUGAGCUUGUAUGGUGGGGGGUUGAAGGUGAAUUUUUACAUUAGAUAAUAAGUGUAUUACUGCACCCUUUAAUACACCAAACGAGAUUUGAAGGCCCGACUUGAUGCACCAGACGGCAGGCAUUAUCACAGCACACCAUUUAGUCUUCUUACGAGGGUAAAGAUAUUAAGGCUGGUGAGUCUUUGCAGAUUGCCUCUUAGGGAUCGAGCGUCCCCUUUUAUUUGGCCAGAGAGAGAGAGAGAGAGGAAGAGACGAUGGAAGUUUUUGAUGAUUUCAGGGCAGUAGUACUGGCGAUGCUGAGGUGCUGUGAGAUGUCCCAAAUCUGUGAAAGUUGGCAGCUAUCUUGGAAGCAUGUCUGCUUCCAGGACAGAGAUUUUUGGGUAUCUUUUGACAGAAUAUAGGUCCAAUCUAUACGGGUGACCACUUUUUGAUGGGUCCAAGUCCAAUGCCCCUCCAAUUCUCAUCGCUUAUAGUAUAUGAUGCUUCAAGAAUUAAUCACCUUCACUAAUCUCAAUACAUGUCAUGAUGCAAAGCACAUCGGUUGGAGGGCUAAACUUUUGCUUUGUCCAACAAGUUAUUGUGGUUUCAAGUUAUGAAUUCCAGGUCCCCAUUUCCUUUAACUGCUAUUUGGGCCACAAGAGAAGGAGACCACGCCCAUAAAGCAUCCAUGAACGGAAGCAAAAAGAAUGAGUUCGCAUGAUAGAGACGACAAUGUAUGUCCUCCUCCUAAUCCUAUCAUCGUUUGAUUUAUGAAAUUUCAAUUCCUUACUCCUUCAGGGAACAGUUUCACCAAAUCUGUUUCCUUUAGGCUUUUGGACGGGGCACUAUCAAGUUAAAUCAGGAUUCAGGUAUCUCUGCGUGUGUGUGUAGUCCUGACUCCAAUUAUGAUUCAAGAUAAAUAAGCAAACGGAUGUAGUCCUGACUCCAAUUAUCCGCAUGCUGAACCUUAAAUUCGGCAUUCCCAAUUCUAAGGACAUAGGCAUGAAUCUGCAUUUUUUAUUCUUUAUUUUUAUUUUCGAGUUAAAAUCCAAUCUCAGUCCACGGGACCACGAGUUCCCCAGUUCAAGUUGAAUUCUCGCAAAACUACCAUGGCAUAUUCUUCAUUCCGCAGAAAAAUCUACGCGUCGCCAUAAUUAUAUCUCGUGACAUUUAAUUGCAAGCGAUGAUAUUGCCUGUUCAGUUAUUCUUCAACGGCUGUCCAUCUCCUCGGUAGUUUACAGGAACGAGAAACAAAAUAGAGAGCAAAUAUCAAUUGCUCUGUUGUUGUACAAAUUAUCGUACUUGGAAAAAGUUUAAAAAAAAUAGAGCAACAAUGAAAAGGAAAUUGGGGAAUGGCAAAACAGGUCGUCGCAUUCUAGGUUGGUGAUAGCAUUUUGCAGCAAAGAAAUUCAUGGAAUAUCAGAGAAACUGUGGAAGGACGCACUGCAGCGCAAAAUCACUAAAUGAAAUUACAACUUUAACAUUCUACAGUCUAGACAAACAACUUCAGACGGUGAACAUCAUAAAGCUUAGAGGUACCCCCUGGGUGCUGCGCUCAUAACUACAGAAAUUUGAUGACUGAUGAAGGAUCAUCGACUUUCUGGUGCAUUAAUUGAUAAAUGACAAAAUUAAACAACAGAAUUUACAAAACUAAGUUGGUCGGUCCUCCAU